UGUGUUUGUCUGACUGUGUGUGUGUUUGUGUCUGACACAUACACACAAACAGUCAGACACAAACACACACACAGUCAGACAAACACACA